rnacentral:lncRNA from 1 species
AUGCUAACACUUCUGACAAGAUUAACAACGUCGGGAAAUUGGACUCCCUGCAUUGAUCAUCGGGCUGAUGGGAAAGCUGCCAUGGAAACCCAUAGGGGCUGGAAGUGUAGGACUCCUACAGACCAAAGAGAAGCUGAAGACUGGAAGCAACCUGUCAGGAGUGAAAAGGGUUUUCUUGUAAAGCCAACAGGUGUUGUUGUGACCACCUUCCUUGAGCAAGUUACUCCCACCUGCACAUCAGCUUGUUUUGGUAUCCAGUAAGAGAAGAUACUAGUUGGCUUGAGCUUUGCUAUGAAGACAUAAGAUUGUCUGCUAUUGUGAGUGUGACUAUUUCUUACAAACUUUGAUUUCAUAUUUUUCCCAAAAAGAUCUUUGUUUUAAUGGCAAUGCAAAG